rnacentral:misc_RNA from 1 species
UGGCGGCUUUGGGCGCUCGUUGCUCCGUUGUUGGCAUCAACGUCUUUUGAAAGUGUCGUUGGUGUCGUGCCGAGUUCCGAAGAUACGGUGCAGCGGCGGGCCCGCUGCUUGACUGCUCAACCAGUUGCAUGAGCGUAUUGUCUCGUCAGUCGUUGCGCUCGGCGGUCAGCAUGAUCGGAGACUGUCAGCCAGGUUGAGUUGCAGGUUGCCGCAGGCAUGUCCACGUGGGCGCGCCGUGUCCACCGGGGUGCCACCAGCCUGAGCCAGGCGGUGACCUCGUGCGGUGGUGGCCAGACCCCGUCCUCGCGUUUGGAGCGGGUCAAAUUUGGAGUGCCCCUGGAGCAACUCUGCAAGGACAGCAGUGACUUGCCUGCACCGCUGCUCGUGCUUAUGCUGCGGCUCAACAAGGAGGCUCCCCGCAAGAAAGAUGUCUUCCGGGCACCAGGACAUCAGGGUAACGCGCGCAAGCUGGCGCACUCCCUGCACCAGGGUCGCCUGGUGAACCUGGACAACUUCUCAGUACACACCAUGGCGUCGGUUCUCAAGCGCUUUCUGCGUAAACUGCCUGGCGGCGUGUUCGGUGCUGAGCUGGAGGCCCAGCUGUUGGUGGCGCUGGACCAGCCAGGUGGCCUCGAGGAGCGGCGUGAGCGGGUGCAGCACCUGCUUGCCCAGCUACCGCUGCCUGCGCAGCGGCUGCUGGUGCUGCUGUUUGGCACGUUCCGCCUGGUCGCCUCGGACCUGAGCCGCACCGGCAUGACAGCCGAGGCACUGGGUGUUAGCGUGGCACCUUCCUUCUUCCGCACCUGCACGGGCAAGGUGGCGCGCAUGGAAGAUGUGGCUCGAUUCCGUGCCGCCAGCCGAGCCACACGCUUCCUCAUUGACAAUUUUGGAGUGAGCAACUUGUUUGGCCGGCACAACUACGAGUAUUAUGCGCGGCUGACUGGCCGUGUGCUCCGUGUUGAGGAGGACUGGAUCUUUGCCUUCCGGUACCCACCGGACUCACUGGUGCCGCGCAAGACGUCGCUCGAAGCUGAGCGCUCCUGGCUGCAGGCUGAGGCGCAGCGCUGGGGUCUGCACCAGUCGGCACCUGCGCUCGCGGAGUUGCACGUUGACGAUGCGGCUGCAUCGUCGUCGUGCCCCUUAGAGCGCCAGCAGGCACAGAGGCUGCGCACCCGCUCCGAGUGGUUCCUAGGUGGCAAGGAGAACGAUGGUCCGCCAGUGGUGUCUGAGCAGGACUGUACGGAACUGGAUGUGCGCACAUUUCAUGUCACGCUCACCUACCAGCCACGGAUCUGACAAGGGCCUUCACCCCGCCACCUGGACGAAGCGGGACCCUCUGGCUGUGAUGACAUCAUCGCUUCUUCCGUUGGUGGCACUGCGAGUGGCUCUGGCAGUUGCUGCCCUGCAGGCGCGAGUAAUACUUCUUCCUAGUGCGUCGCAUGCGUGACUGCCAGUGCUGCUUGCCUGUCUACUGCUUCUGUGGAUGAUCUUUGUUGGACUGAGUGUUUGAGGUUGUCAGGAUUUUUUAUGAGUGGACUUGUUCUUACUUAAACUUGCAAAAGUGCACUACAGAUGGGAUAGAAGCGAUAGGGACAUGUACAACAAUCUUUAUUUCCGUCCCGUCUAUAGCGCACUUUCACGAGUUUAGAUGUGAAUUCAUAACUCACCCGAACUGACACAUUGUUGGGCUUGUCUUAUUUGACGCCAUCUUUGUUCACAUGUGUUGCAAGGUUUGUUCUGUGAGCAGCUUUAGCAUUUGCUGUCCUGCAGGUUGGAGUACUUGAUCCUCCCAAUUCUUUUCUUGCAUCUCAGCCAAU